GAUGAACGCUGGCGGCGUGCCUAAUACAUGCAAGUCGAACGACCAGACGAUGAGCUUUUUCUUCUACCGUUAGCGGCUGACGGGUGAGUAACACAUGGAUAACCUACUUAUAUUUCUGGGGUAAUUUCGGGAGACCGGUGCUGCUACUGCCGCAUAUAUUCAACCGCAUGGUUCAAUAGUUAUUGACGGCUUUGCCGUCUCUAUUAGCUGGUUCCGCGUCGCAUUAGCUAGUUGGUAAGGUAACGGCUUACCAAGGCAACGAUGCGUAGCCGACCUGAGAGGGUGAUCGGCCACACUGGAACUGAGACACGGUCCAGACUCCUACGGGAGGCAGCAGUAGGGAAUCUUGCGCAAAGGGCGAAAGCCUGACGGAGCAACGCCGCGUGAGUGAUGAAGGUCUUCGGAUCGUAAAGCUCUGUUAUUGGGAAAGAAAAGCUGUGGAAGUAUCUAUGCCUGUCUUGACGGUACCUAAUCAAAAAGCAACGGCUAACUACGUG
rnacentral:rRNA from 1 species